rnacentral:tRNA from 1 species
GCUUUGGUUCAGUCGGUAGAGCGCUCGGCUUCGAUGCGCGAGGUCACUGGUUCGAUCCCGGCUUUAG